rnacentral:rRNA from 1 species
UACAGAGGGGGCAAGCGUUGUUCGGAAUUACUGGGCGUAAAGGGCGCGUAGGUGGCCUUCUAAGUUGAACGUGAAAUCCCUGGGCUCAACCCAGGAACUGCGUCCAAGACUGGGAGGCUUGAAUCCGGGAGAGGGAUGCGGAAUUCCAGGUGUAGCGGUGAAAUGCGCAGAUAUCAGGAGGAACACCGGUGGCGAAGGCGGAUCUCUGGGCCAUUACUGACGCUGAGGAGCGAAAGUGUGGGGAGCGAACAGG